rnacentral:rRNA from 1 species
CCCUUAGAUGUUCUGGGCCGCACGCGCGCUACACUGAUGCAUUCAACAAGCCUAGCCUUGACCGAGAGGUCCGGGUAAUCUUUUAAACUGCAUCGUGAUGGGGCUAGAUUAUUGCAAUUAUUAAUCUUCAACGAGGAAUGCCUAGUAAGCGUGAUUCAUCAAAUCGCGUUGAUUACGUCCCUGCCCUUUGUACACACCGCCCGUCGCUCCUACCGAUUGAAUGUGUUGGUGAGGAGCUCGGAUUGGCAGCAGUUGGUGGUUCGCCACCGGCUAUUGCUGAGAAGUCCUCCAAACCGCCCCAUUUAGAGGAAGGAGAAGUCGUAACA